rnacentral:rRNA from 1 species
AGUGAACGCUGGCGGUAGGCCUAACACAUGCAAGUCGAACGGCAGCACAGUAAGAGCUUGCUCUUACGGGUGGCGAGUGGCGGACGGGUGAGGAAUACAUCGGAAUCUACUUUUUCGUGGGGGAUAACGUAGGGAAACUUACGCUAAUACCGCAUACGACCUACGGGUGAAAGCAGGGGAUCUUCGGACCUUGCGCGAUUGAAUGAGCCGAUGUCGGAUUAGCUAGUUGGCGGGGUAAAGGCCCACCAAGGCGACGAUCCGUAGCUGGUCUGAGAGGAUGAUCAGCCACACUGGAACUGAGACACGGUCCAGACUCCUACGGGAGGCAGCAGUGGGGAAUAUUGGACAAUGGGCGCAAGCCUGAUCCAGCCAUACCGCGUGGGUGAAGAAGGCCUUCGGGUUGUAAAGCCCUUUUGUUGGGAAAGAAAAGCAGCAGGUUAAUACCCCGCUGUUCUGACGGUACCCAAAGAAUAAGCGCCGGCGAACUUCGU